CUCUCAAUAGCUCAGUGGUAGAGCAGCUGACUGUAGAAGAUGUAGUUAUCAGCGGGUCGCUGGUUCGACUCCGGCUUGGGAGA
rfam:Vittaforma corneae ATCC 50505 unplaced genomic scaffold supercont1.10, whole genome shotgun sequence.